rnacentral:rRNA from 1 species
UGGGGGAUAUUGCACAAUGGGCGAAAGCCUGAUGCAGCGACGCCGCGUGGGGGAUGAAGGCUUUCGGGUUGUAAACCUCUUUCGCUAUCGAACAAGGCCCGCUUAGGGUGGGUUGAGGGUAGGUGGAGAAGAAGCGCCGGCUAACUACGUGCCAGCAGCCGCGGUAAUACGUAGGGCGCGAGCGUUGUCCGGAAUUACUGGGCGUAAAGGGCUUGUAGGCGGCUUGUUGCGCCUGCUGUGAAAACGCGGGGCUUAACUUCGCGCGUGCAGUGGGUACGGGCAGGCUUGAGUGUGGUAGGGGUGACUGGAAUUCCAGGUGUAGCGGUGGAAUGCGCAGAUAUCUGGAGGAACACCGAUGGCGAAGGCAGGUCACUGGGCCAUUACUGACGCUGAGGAGCGAAAGCAUGGGUAGCGAACAGG